ensembl:snRNA U4 U4 spliceosomal RNA
AGCUUUGCACAGUGGCAGUAUCGUAGCCAAUGAGGUUUAUCCAAGCUGCGAUUAUUGCUAAUUGAAAAGAAUCUAAUCUUCAGUACCCAUUUUUACUUAGGGGUGUGAUUACUGCCUUGAUUGCUCUCUC